rnacentral:rRNA from 1 species
AACAUCGCCCUUUGAAAAAAUAAUUAUAAAGGGUACUGCCUGCCCAGUGAUAAAAAUUAAACGGCCGCGGUACUUUGACCGUGCAAAGGUAGCAUAAUCAUUUGUUCUUUAAUUGAGGACUAGUAUGAAAGGCAAAACGAAAGCUUAACUGUCUCCUUUUUAAAAAAUGAAAUUAGUAUUUUUGUGAAGAAACAAAAAUAAUAAAGUAAGACGAGAAGACCCUGUCGAGCUUAAGAAAAUUUUUAUAAUAACUUUUAACAAGAUAAUUAAAACUAUACUACAAAAAUAAAAUAAAAAUAUCUUUGGUUGGGGCAACCACGAAGAAAAAAAAACCUUCGUUUAAAAAAAGAAAUUUACAAAUUUAAAAAUUUAUUAAAAUUUUAAAGAUCCAGAAAAUUCUGAUCAAAGAAAAAAGUUACCGCAGGGAUAACAGCGUUAUUCUCUUUAAGAGCUCUUAUUGACAAGAGAGUUUGCGACCUCGAUGUUGGACCGGGGCACCCAAGAGGUGUAGCAGCCUCUAAAGGUAGGUCUGUUCGACCUUUAAAGCCCUACGUGAU